rnacentral:rRNA from 1 species
CAUCAGGAGGUUAGUGCAAUGGCAUAAGCCAGCUUGACUGCGAGCGUGACGGCGCGAGCAGGUGCGAAAGCAGGUCAUAGUGAUCCGGUGGUUCUGAAUGGAAGGGCCAUCGCUCAACGGAUAAAAGGUACUCCGGGGAUAACAGGCUGAUACCGCCCAAGAGUUCAUAUCGACGGCGGUGUUUGGCACCUCGAUGUCGGCUCAUCACAUCCUGGGGCUGAAGUAGGUCCCAAGGGUAUGGCUGUUCGCCAUUUAAAGUGGUACGCGAGCUGGGUUUAGAACGUCGUGAGACAGUUCGGUCCCUAUCUGCCGUGGGCGCUGGAGAACUGAGGGGGGCUGCUCCUAGUACGAGAGGACCGGAGUGGACGCAUCACUGGUGUUCGGGUUGUCAUGCCAAUGGCACUGCCCGGUAGCUAAAUGCGGAAGAGAUAAGUGCUGAAAGCAUCUAAGCACGAAACUUGCCCCGAGAUGAGUUCUCCCUGAGACUUAGAGUCUCCUGAAGGAACGUUGAAGACGACGACGUUGAUAGGCCGGGUGUGUAAGCGCAGCGAUGCGUUGAGCUAACCGGUACUAAUGAACCGUGAGGCUUAACCUU